rnacentral:lncRNA from 1 species
GUAGGAACUUCGCGUUCCCACCCUCCAGGGGAGGAGAUUGGAUCAGGCGCCAGCCUUGAGGUGUCUGAUUGGAGAAAAGCUGUGCAGUGCCGCUCCCCCGACCGACUCCUUGAGAAGAAACGGCGGAGACCUGAGACCCGGAGGCUGAGGCUGUAGGUGGGCUCCGCUGGGUAAAAGUUGCCGCAGCAGCUGUCCCUUGGCCCCAUCGCGAUUUAUUUUUCCCCCUUGCUUUCCGGGUCCCGGGAUCCCAAGUUUGUAACUAACGGGAGCGAAUCCACACCCGAGCAAAAUGUUUGCGAGUUUCAGGCGCCCUUAGUUGAAAGGCUGUAAUUAACAAGUCCGCUGUUUGCCAGCCAGGCGCCGUUGCAGGCGCUUUCUGUGGAUUGUCAUUUAUUUCUCACAGCAACCCUAGGAGAUGAAAUUGAAUCAUGGAAGAAUGCCUUUAUCUGAGGAGUCAUCACCACUAGGGAGCUAUGGAGGCUGUUAUCCUUGACAUCUGCAGCAGCCCUUCCAAGCUGUGGAGACCAGGUCAUCUGGAAUGCCCAUUUAUGUCAAUGGAAGAAAGAAAAAGGGGUCUCCUCCCAUCCUCACCACUGCAUUCUCCCACCAACCCUGCUCCUGUCCCACUUCCCACAACUCAGUUGUUGACAAUUUAACAGUGGGUUUCUGGAAACAGUGCUGCCUCCUUGAUGGUCUAACUAACUACCAGAGUUAUUCUAACAGCAGGAAUUUCAAGCCAGUGAUGACUGAAAAUUUGUUGCCAGCGUCUAUCUGGAAACAAUGUUUUGAUGAUCCACCACCCCAUCCCUCCAAACCACUUUCUUGCACAUACUCCAGAAUAAUAGACAGAAGAAUUUAAUACAUGUGAUGCUUUGCCUUCCAU